GGGUGUCCUUUUGGGGCAGGAUUACGUUGGUCGGGCCGCCAACG
rnacentral:ncRNA from 1 species